GUCCCGUAAUACGAUGCUACGAUGCUAAUGUUCUCUGGGUGUCACUGAGUGGACUGAUACCCCAUGUCAUUGAUCCACAGUCCAUAGGUAAGGCUGUACAGUGAAAUAAGGAUGCCCCCAAUGCAACUCAGAGUCCCGUAAUACGAUGCUACGAUGCUAAUGUUCUCUGGGUGUCACUGAGUAGACUGAUACCCCAUGUCAUUGAUCCACCAUCCAUAGGUAAGGCUGUAGAGUGAAAUAAGGAUGCCCCCCAAUGCAACUCAGUGUCCCGUAAUACGAUGCUACGAUGCUAAUGUUCUCUGGGUGUCACUGAGUAGACUGAUACCCCAUGUCAUUGAUCCACCAUCCAUAGGUAAGGCUGUAGAGUGA
ensembl:lncRNA